UACGUAGGGUCCGAGCGUUGUCCGGAAUUAUUGGGCGUAAAGGGCUCGUAGGCGGUUCGUCACGUCGGGAGUGAAAACUCGGGGCUUAACCCCGAGCCUGCUUCCGAUACGGGGCAGACUAGAGGUAGGCAGGGGGAGAACGGAAAUUCCUGGUGGUAGCGGUAGCGAAAUGCGCAGGAUAAUCAGGAGGAACACCGGUGGCGAAGGCGGUUCUCUGGGCAUUGACCUGACCGCUGAGGAGCGAAAGUGUGGGGAGCGAACAGG
rnacentral:rRNA from 1 species